AGCAGCCGCGGUAAUUCCAGCUCCAAUAGCGUAUAUUAAAGUUGUUGCAGUUAAAAAGCUCGUAGUUGAAUUUCGGGGUCAGUAGGUUGGUCGUGCCACUGGUAUGCACUGGUCUCACUGAUUCCUCCUUCCUGAUGAGCCGUAAUGCCAUUAAUUUGGUGUUGCGGGGAAUCUGGACUGUUACUUUGAAAAAUUAGAGUGUUUAAAGCAGGCUAACGCUUGAAUACAUUAGCAUGGAAUAAUGAAAUAGGACGAUCGAUCCUAUUUUGUUGGUUUCUAGGAUUGACGUAAUGAUUAAUAGGGAUAGUUGGGGGCAUUAGUAUUCAAUUGUCAGAGGUGAAAUUCUUGGAUUUAUUGAAGACUAACUACUGCGAAAGCAUUUGCCAAGGAUGUUUUCAUUAAUCAAGAACGAAAGUUAGGGGAUCGAAGACGAUCAGAUACCGUCGUAGUCUUAACCAUAAACUAUGC
rnacentral:rRNA from 1 species